GGAGCAUGUCGUAUCUGUGGUGAAGACCAACUAUACUACUGAAUAUGUCACUGAGCUCACCAACCUCCUCUUUAAUGAGGUCAUUCGUGACCCUGAACCUUUCGUAGCUGCCCUGAAGGAAGUAGCUGUUCCAGGGUUCCUCUGCUCCCAGUAUGAGCGACCUGACAAGGCAGAUGCAGUUGCCAGCCAAAUGUCCAGGUUCAGCUGUCCAGGUAAGGGUUGGCUCCUCCAACACAUUGUGGCUAAAUGCCUGUUUAUCCACAAGUCUGCCUAAAUCAGUAUCACAACAUUUAUAAUGAAUAUAAUCAAGCACAGAUCCAGCUCCACAGCCCUGAUGACACAAACACCUGCUGAGAGUGAGAGGAGGGGAGAGGACACCAACUAAAGAACCCAGAACUAUGAGGAACGGAGGAAGUCAAGGUACUCCUGGUGGAUACGGACAACAACGCAGGAAGGUAUCACUACCCGGUUGUGCUUUCCCAGGUAUCCCCAGCACCAGGAAAUGAAGGAUGCCAGCACAUCAUGAUCCCAAGAAGAUGAAAGAUGGAUCAACCUGCAGCGUGUCUGAAAUCUAUUUGGCUGUAUGGAUUGGCCUGGACAUUUGUUUUUUUCUUUCUUUCUCUGUUUUAACUUCCAUGAAUUAUCCACAACCAUACAUUUGUAAUUUUGACUAAUCAGUUGUUGUGAAGCGUUAUCACAAAAUGUUCAAUUUGUUAGAUUUUUAUACAUGUUGUAUAUCCUAGUUCUCUAUUGUUCUCUGAGGCUGGGACUAGUUCAUGCAUUUGUUACCUCCAGGUUGGAUUAUUGUAAUUAUUGUAAUUCUCUCUCUGGAUGGAUAGGCCGGG